GUGGUGAAAGAUGAAGUGGGAAAGAAAGGCCUCUCUGCUAGUCUGAGAACCUUAUGAUCACCUCUGCUUCUUUAUGCACUGCCUACCUCUCUAAACAGACCGCAUGGGCCUUGAGGGGCGGGACUGUGUUGCUGCUGCUGCCUUGUCACUGUCUCAUAGCUCCAGGCUCAGCGCUGUAGGGGCAGUAGCCAAAGGAAGAGCCCAGGCCUGGCUGGGCUAGCAGGCAGGUCCUCCUGGAGCCAAAACAGAUCCUCCCACGUGAAGUUUGAAAGGAAGCAUCUUGCAGCUCCGUCUAAUUACAGGAAAGUUCCAAGUUCUGAUCUCCCCUUCCCUACCUCUUUUCUUGACGUCUCUGGAACAAGCUAUCUGAAAGGAGAAAUAGUCACAUCACAAUUUUUUUUUUCUGGGCUCAUGUGAAUAUUGUUUCAGGGACAAGAAGAAAAAAAAAUUUGUCUUCUCUAUUUCCUUAAGAAGGUCAGCAAGAUGGAACAGUUGCAUUUCAUAUGCAGCCUCUCGAAGGACAUUCAUUUUCUCCAGCAGAGCCCCAGGGUGGACAAGGAGGGCCAGCUGUGUGCAGCGUCUGUUGUGUACAGCAUUCAGGACAAUGUCCUCUUGGAUCCCGAGCUCUCCACACAGACAGAGCAGAUAAAGGAAGGUCCCUCUCCUGGUCUUCCUUCCAGGGAGGCUGUUGCUGAGAGAGGUUAAGGGACCUCCCAGAGUCCUCCUCAGGUGGGAGCGGAAGGUUGGCAUUGCUGACCUCCCAUAAGCUUUUACCUGAACUUGGGCUCUGCCUGUCUUUGUUCUGAGGAAUGAGACUGCAAAGAAGCUCCCGAUCUGAAAAGGUGGCAUUUGCUAAGUUAGAAAAUGGAAGUACCACCCAGUCUGGGGGAUCCCAUAGGCACCCAAGAGUGCACCAAGCCACUAGGACCAAGCUCACCUGAGAGUCCCACCCUGCUCGGAAUAUGCAGACUUGGUGUCCUGUCGCUUUAAAGCACUCCAUGCCUGGAAAUGCCACGGCCCACAUGGAAUGGGCACAGCCAACAACUCUCCAAGGAGCCCCAGCAAUGAAUGAUGAGCAUCUCCCCUGAACCCAUCUCCCCAUGUCCGGUGUUUAAAGUGAAUUGAAAUGAAUAUCUGAUAAAUGAAUAAACCUGUAAAUGGAAUCAAAAACCUUAUGAACUUGAAGGAGAAAUAGGAGUCCCAGGUCUGUUAAGUCUAAAUUGAAUAAAUCUGAUCAACUGCCUGACAAUUUCUGCCAACAGCUUUUGAAGAGGAAGAAAAGGGGUGAGCAGAGAAAUUGGGUAGAGGAGAGGGAAGAGCGAGUGGGGUAGGGGAGGCAGGCAUGACUCAGUAAUGAAGCUAUCACCAGGAGUCCCCAGUGUUCCUUACCUGGACUAAUAAAUGGAUGACAAUAGGAGUUCCUUGCAAGUCUGUCUGCUCCUGUGUGUCUGCCCAGAGGACACCUCUAGAGAAUGAGAGAUUUGCAUAAAAUGGGGCCAAAGUCUCCUUUUGGGCCUUGCUGGACAAGGAGCUGAGGAAGAACUCUGGAGUCCUGGAAUCAGCUACUGGGCCUAGAUGAUCUCACCUGCUAGGAUGGGUCUGUAUGUUUGGGUAGCUUGAGCUGGAGGCAGGGAGGUCACAUUGAGGAUGCGCUCAAUGGCUCUCGAUUUGGCCUCUGCCACUCUUUGUUCUGUUGGGUAACUUACUUCCUGCAGUGGUUUUAAACAUGGCCACAGACUUCUUUAACACUCAUCUUAGUGAGAGGUGGUGGUGGUGGAUCUGUGUCUUCUUCUCUUGAAUCUAGGUGGCUUUGUGACUCCACUAAUACAGAACAGUGGCAUUGAUGCUGUCUGACUUUCCAGGCUGGGCUGGAAAAGGUUGUGCAACUUCUGCCUGAGUUUCUUGGGACACUGUCAUUGGGGGAAAACAGCCCCUAUGUAGGAAAUCCAAUUGCCCUGAGAGUGCCAUGCUGGAGAGGUGUUCCUGUUCAAGGCCAUGCCCCACUGAGCUCCCGGCCAGUGGCCAGGCUGGCCGUGGGGAAUGAACCCCGUGAGCCACUCAGUCUCGCCCAGCCUUCAGAUGACUGCAGUUCCAGCCCAUGUGUGACUGCAGCAGCUAAGUCACAGCUGCCUCGUCAAACUCUCCCCAAAUUUUUGACCUGCAAAAGUACAAACGCUAUAAAAUUAUUGUUUUAAGCUACUAAUUCAGGAGUAAUUUGUUAAUAGCAACCAAAACACACCCCUUCUUGGGUUUCAAUUUUUUUUCUGAACCAUGAAGGGUUAGACUAGAUAAUUUUUAAAACCAUACUUUGAAAGUUUUAAAUAGUAGAUGAACUUUUUUCAAUUGUUUUUAUUGUAGUAAAAUAUACAUAAAAUUUACCAUCUUAAACAUUUUUAAGUGUACGGUUCAGUGGUAUUAAAUAUAUUCACAAUGUUGUGUAACCAUCAUCACCAUCCAUCUCCGUAACUCAUUUCGUCCUGCAAAACUGAAACUCUGUACACAUUAAACAAUAACUCCGUCUUCCCCUUUCUCCUCCAGCCCCUGACAUCCACCAUUCUACUUUCUGCCUCUAUGAUUUAGACUACUCUAGGUAUCUCACAUAAGUGGAAUCAUACAAUGUUUGCCUUUUGGGCCUGGUUUAUUUCACUCAGCAUAAUGUUUUCAUGGUUCAUCCAGGUUGUAGUAUGUACCAGGAUUUCUUUCCUUUUUAAGACUGGAUAAUAUUUCAUUGUAUGUAUAUACAACAUUUUGCUUAUCCAUUCAUUUGUUGAUAGACACUUUUGUUUUUGCCAUGUUUUAGCUAUUGUGCAUUAAUGCUGGUGUGAACAGGAGUGUACAAAUGGAAAGAACCUGCUUCCAAUUAUGUCAAAUAGAUACCCAGAAGUGGAAUUGCUGAUUUACAUGGUAAUUUUAUUUUUAAUUUUUUGAGAAACCACCACACCGUUUUUCACAGUGGCUGUCCCAUUUUUGCAUUCCUGCCACCAGUGUACAAGGAUUCCAGUUCCCCACACCCUCAUCAACACUUGUUAUAUAUAUAUUUUUACAAUAGCCAUGAUAAUGGAUAUGAAGAGGUGUCCCAUUGUUGCUUUGAUUCACAUUUCUCUAAUGAUUAGUGAUGCUGGACAUCUUUUCAAAGCAUGUUUUUUUUAAAAAAGGAGUUCAAACAUCAUAAAAGGAUAACAGAAAUUAAACAGUUUUCUUCCCUACUCCUGAGUUCUUCUCACCACUGAGAGGUAACUAACUUUAACAUAUGACUGAUUCUUCCAGAAAUGCUUGUUGUGAUUACAACAUAAUUAUAUCUUUAUAAAAUUACACAUAGAAUUAUAUCAUAGUUAAUUUUUGUAAUUUCCUUUUUUUCCACUUACUGAUACAGAUUGGAGAUAUUUCCAUACCAGUAUACAUAGGUCUACUUCAUUCUUAAUAUCUGCAUAAUUCCAUGGCAUGGCUUGGUCAACGUUUACUUCUCUAGUCACUGUUGAUGGGUAUUUCAGUUGCUUCUAGGUUGUUUGGUUGGUAUUUUUUGCUACUGUAAUAAUACUGCAUUGACUAUUAUUGUAUACUUGUUUAUGCUUUUGUAGGUCAAAUUCCUAGAAGUACAGUUUCUGGGUCAAAGGAUAUGCAUUGACAAUUUUGAUAAUUAUUGCCAAAUUUGUCUUUUAAAGAGGUGGCACAUAUUUAUACCACCACAAUGAGGAAGCUAGUAUCCUGCUACCUUUAUUAUCUUUCAGGUUUUGUCAUCUGCUGGAAGAAAAUAAUAUUCUGUUUUCAAGUUUUCAUUUCUUUAAUUGUGAAGUUGAGCAUUUUUAUAUGCACUUUGAUGAUUUUUUAUACAAAAUUUCAAUCAUGCAAAAGUAGAGAGACUAUAUCAUGAACUCCCAUAAGUAGAUCACCCCAAGUCAACUGUCAUUAUGGGUUUACCACUUGUUUCAAGAUUGAUGAUUUUUAAUUUCUAUUUUUCAUUGAAUAGCUAAUUUAUAUCCUUUGCCAAUUCUAUAGGGCUGUUCAUAUUUUGUUUUUUUUUAAAUGGUUUGUCGGAGCUUUUCUUAUCAUAACAAAUUAACUUUUUGCCAUUAUAUGUUACAAAUAUUUUUCCUAUUAAACUUGUGUUUUGAUAUUAUUAAAGGUCUUUUUGUACAGAAGCAAUUUUACUUUUUAUAUCAAAUUUAUCAAUCUUUUAAAAAGAUUUGUAGUUUUGUGUUUUCAAUGAUCUUCUCUACUCCAGGAAUAUAAAAUAAAAUAAUAAAAUAAA
rnacentral:lncRNA from 10 species